AACGAACGCUGGCGGCAUGCCUAACACAUGCAAGUCGAACGAUCCCUUCGGGGAUAGUGGCGCACGGGUGCGUAACGCGUGGGAACCUGCCCUUAGGUUCGAAAUAACUCAGAGAAAUUUGAGCUAAUACCGGAUAAUGUCUUCGGACCAAAGAUUUAUCGCCUUUGGAUGGGCCCGCGUUGGAUUAGCUAGUUGGUGGGGUAAAGGCCUACCAAGGCGACGAUCCAUAGCUGGUCUGAGAGGAUGAUCAGCCACACUGGGACUGAGACACGGCCCAGACUCCUACGGGAGGCAGCAGUGGGGAAUAUUGGACAAUGGGCGAAAGCCUGAUCCAGCAAUGCCGCGUGAGUGAUGAAGGCCUUAGGGUUGUAAAGCUCUUUUACCCGGGAUGAUAAUGACAGUACCGGGAGAAUAAGCCCCGGCUAACUCCGUG
rnacentral:rRNA from 1 species